ensembl:lncRNA
GGAAAGGACCGGGUCAGCCCUGGGAGCACAGGUGAAGGCAAUUCAGCUGUGUGACCAGAGGGGUGGAGCCUGGCUACACCUCUCCUAGACCCCAUUAAAGGGCUGACUUCUAGGGGGGAAGGGUUUCUGGUUGGAGAUCUGUCUCUGCUGGAGCUUUCCCCUGUAUGCCUGGGUCUUUGGAGAUGGCCAUAUGAUUGGGCAGCUUCCCACUGCUCUGCAGCCUCCAUCCAGUUUGUGGCGUGGCAUUGCCACCUAGUGACACCGGGCAGGGUGCUGCUGCCUGCCGCGCUGCAAUUCCCCCUCGCAUCAGAGAACAUACAAAUCACAACCUGUAGUUACAAUGCCUCUUAUUGCUGGAGUUGCUGUUGCUAACAGAACCGACGUUUCCCUGCUGGCAGCGGGUAACUACUCACGAUGAGCAUACAGGUAUUUCCUUGCAUGGUUCAGUUUUUAAAAGUUACACCAAAGCAAUGUCUCUGUUAGAGAAAUUAAGACCACCGCAAUUAGUCUUCAAUUCUCCAGAAUUGGUCUGCUGUUGGGAGGAGUAUCCAUAGUCCAGGAUCUUAGAAGUCUUGUAUUCUUAUCUGGAUAGUAAUAGAGCUGCCUCUGGACCCACACCUCACCAGCUCUUAGUGUAUUUCUGCAGUGUCUGAUAUGCAAAAAUGAGUAACAGUGAUGUGCCUGAGGACAGCAUAGCUUUGGUAGCACAACAUGCCAAGUGCCACCUGAGCUGGACAGGGCGUCGCUAUGAACUCUGAGCACAAGGCACGGUGCAUGCAGCCCUGCCAAUUGUGCUUGCAGACUGUGCAAUGAGAGGGGGGUAAGAGUGGAAAAGCAAGGAGCUAGCAGCUCGUUCUUCACGUGGCAGCUGGCUCCCUGCCUCCCAGCCACAGAAAAAUCAAGAACCACCUGGGGAAAUGCGGUGGAAUUUUGCAAAUGCAUAUCAAAAGAUGUCACGCAAGAAGGAAAAAACAGUAAAUACAAAACAUGCUUCCGUGCAUUUUUGAUAAUGAAUUAGAUUAUUGCUUGGUAAUAGUGCCGUAUGAGCCCAUUUCUCAACCCGCAGAACCACGGGAGCGUACAGCACAGCCUGUGAGGAGCGAGCGAGCGCUUGUCAGCCAGGUGCCAAAUGCAAAUGUCAAACACGCGAGCAAAAAAUAUCCUGAGGGCAUCUUUCAUGAAAGCAGCAGCUUGACUGCUGGGUACGGCGUGUAACGUUCCUCCAAUUGCAAGCAGAAAGCAAGCGGUGAGGAACACGAGAGAGUAUUUUGCAUAAGCAGGAGCUACGAGCGUUUGAAGCUGCAGUAGGACGGCCGGAUAUUAAGAGCCGCUGGUAAGAUGUGCUCCAUCAAGCCUGACAGACGCAUCGCAGAGCGGCAUUUGUCCACCUGAGAGACCUUUCGCGGCGCUGCGGGUCCCGUGCUGCUGCAAACCGUGCCCCGCAGGCGGGGAAAUCGCGGCCCCGCAGUUCGGGGCGCUGCUCUGCAGGUGUUAUCCAGCGGGGAGAGGGGAGCUGGGAGCCUCGUGCUUCAGUACGGGACCGCCAUCUGGUUCAGGGCGCUCCGGCAGCGAUGGGAGCAGCGCGCGGAGAAGCGGCUCCGCCAGUAACGCUGCCCGCGGGAGACGCGCUCGGGAGAAAAUAUAAAGGCGGUUCCCCAACGCGGAU